rnacentral:rRNA from 1 species
CAGCCGCCACGGGAAUACGUAGGGUGCGAGCGUUAAUCGGAAUUACUGGGCGUAAAGCGUGCGCAGGCGGUUAUAUAAGACAGAUGUGAAAUCCCCGGGCUCAACCUGGGACCUGCAUUUGUGACUGUAUAGCUAGAGUACGGUAGAGGGGGAUGGAAUUCCGCGUGUAGCAGUGAAAUGCGUAGAUAUGCGGAAGAACACCGAUGGCGAAGGCAAUCCCCUGGACCUGUACUGACGCUCAUGCACGAAAGCGUGGGGAGCAAACAGGAUUAGAUACCCCCGUAGUCCCUGUCUCUUAUAC